UACACGCUGUGACUAGCAUAUCAAUAAGCGGAGGAAAAGAAACUAACAAGGAUUCCCUCAGUAACGGCGAGUGAAGCGGGAAGAGCUCAAAUUUGAAAUCUUGAAAGGUCACCUUUCACGAAUUGUAGUUUAAAGAAGUGUUUUCUGUUACGAUCGUAAUAUAAGUUCUUUGGAAUAGGACAUCACAGAGGGUGAGAAUCCCGUCUAUGAUUGCGAUUUGUAGCUUUGUGAUACACUUUCAAAGAGUCGGGUUGUUUGGGAAUGCAGCCCAAAACGGGAGGUAAAUUUCUUCUAAGGCUAAAUAUUGGCGAGAGACCGAUAGCGAACAAGUACCGUGAGGGAAAGAUGAAAAGAACUUUGAAAAGAGAGUUAAAUAGUACGUGAAAUUGUCAAAAGGGAAGCGUUUGACACCAGUGUUGUUUUCUGAAAAUCAACCUCUGUUAGCUUUAUGCUUGUUUGUUUAGACCUAAUCAGCUAUCUUUCAUGUUCUAUUGUUUGCAGUGGUGCACUUUUCAGUUUACAGGUCAACAUCAGUUUUUUUUACCGUAAAAAAGUUAAAGAAAGGUAGCUCAUGGCUCCGGUCGUGAGUGUUAUAGUCUUUUUCCUAUGCGGUAGGAGAGACUGAGGUCUGCAGUGUAGGCUAUUUGGCUAGAUACUCAGGUGCUAUGUGAUACCAUUUCAUAAACAACUUGUUGAUUAUGUUUUGUCUAUUGCAUACUCGCUUGUACUAUCAUACCUACGCUUAGGAUGUUGAGUAGCGACAUACGCAC
rnacentral:rRNA from 1 species